AACUGAAGAGUUUGAUCAUGGCUCAGAUUGAACGCUGGCGGCAGGCCUAACACAUGCAAGUCGAACGCGAAAAUUCCUUCGGGAAUGAGUAGAGUGGCGGACGGGUGAGUAACGCGUGGGAAUCUACCUGGUAGCGGGGGAUAACUCGGGGAAACUCGAGCUAAUACCGCAUACGCCCUACGGGGGAAAGGAGGGGAUCUUCGGACCUUUCACUAUCAGAUGAGCCCGCGUUAGAUUAGCUUGUUGGUGAGGUAAUGGCUCACCAAGGCGACGAUCUAUAGCUGGUCUGAGAGGAUGAUCAGCCACACUGGGACUGAGACACGGCCCAGACUC
rnacentral:rRNA from 1 species